UCCAUGAGGGCAAAAUUCCAUUUUCAAUCCUAUGCCAUCAGCUCCUGCCUGUCAUUUGUCCCAUCAGAAAUAAUUUUUAUUUUUAUUUUUUUUGAAAAUGAUCACUUCCUUUCAAAGUCUAAUAUAAGGCACUGUAAUCCCUGCAGAAACAAAUUUCACAGUCUGUCAGCAAACUGCCUGGAGAGUUGCUCUCUUUUCCCUCAGAAUUACUUAUUACAGUGUUUUACUUCUCAUGGUUAAUGUGCAUUUGAGGUUAACACAGAUAUUCUGGCAAUCUAACCUUCCCCUGAGGGUACUGAUGUAAAUCAGAGAUAUCUCAGUUUAUCCCUAAGGUUAGCUUGGUCCCUUGCACUGGUCUCUGAUGUGGUCCCUAAUUUGCAGACUUUAUUAUAAAUUGGAUAAUAUUGCUCAAUGAAAUGAGCGUGUGAAGAAAAAAGAGGUGCAACUAUGCUGCAUUUGUUUGAGAGUGGAAGAUUAUUUUCAAACAUGUUCAUCAAGGUAGCCAACAUUACAGUUUUGUAGGGAUUGCUGCACAUCAGUCUAUAAACUUCCUGCUUGGUCCACCACCAGCAAGACAUCUAAACAGGGAUAAACAGGUUUUAGUGCUAGACUUGGUCACUGUAGUCUCACAUCUAGACCUUCAAAAGCCUUGAUCAAUCGUUGCCUAAUCCUCAGAGCAUCUAGGGACUCUGGCUGUAUUUCUGCCCCCCCAGCUGUCUACAUCUGUCACAUCUCUGGAUGAAUAUAUUCAUAAAUUGUUGGGCACCAACCUGUUUUUUUCCUAUCUUGUAGGUUUCUGCAUUGAACAGGCUGCUAAAGUGCCCUACGUGGGACUGCAUGGGCCAAGGCAUCUUAGCUAGAACCAGCCUGUCAGGAGGGAACUUCACUGCAGAAGUGGUGCCACUCGCAGAAUUCAGAUGAGCUUGAGGAAAAAGGAGCAAGGAACGCUUGGCAGCCGUGGAGGAUUUUUGAGGGGAGUUGCAGCAGGCAUUAAUAUGACUCAUAAAGAGCUAGCAUCUCAGAAAAGAAAGCUUUUGAAGAACACAGCCACAAAGCUAAAACACUGGCACUGCUUUUCUUCCACUUGGGAGAAAUCUGGCCCAGAACUCUGAGUUCUCAGGUCAAAACACCUCAAGCCUGGAACUGUAUCUGGAAUCCCCUGCGGGCUUCAUGAGAUGAUUAGCCAGCAUCCAUGUGAGGUGCUGUGUUGCUUCCCUGAUGCUUGCAGCCAUGUCAUUGGGCUGAGGGAGCUACAGGGGAUCCAACGGGACUCAGAAGAACAACAAGAAGGAGGGAGAAAUCAGCGGAGCAUGGAGGUCUGUGUGCUGUUGAGCUACCUUCUAGGAAAAGAGGACUGGUGUCUAUUUUCAGGAUGGUAUCUGUGUUUUACAUUCAGCUAACAUCACCUGCAGAACCAGAAAACCUUGUACAGAAGCAAUCUGCACCUGUCCUUUCUGAGAAAGAUGGACUAAUUACUUGCUACCCCUACAUGCUAAUUGCUGGGGUUACGCUUGCCUCCCAGAAUCUUAAUGUUCUUUUAACACAGCUUCAAAACCAGAAGUAACCCAGCCUGUUGUCCAGAAAAAUAUUCUCCAUUACAUGUUUUGAACCUUGUUUCGCUGAGGAAGGAAUAAAAUCACUGUUCAUAUUCAUGUAAGACAUCUCUACUCACCUGAGUGCUGAGCAAAAGACACAUGAGGCUUUUAAAAAAAUUAUUACAAAUAAUAAUUUUGCUUCCUUUCAGAUCACUAAACCUGCAAGUAAUUUUUUGCUUGAAUGAGCAAAUGAGGGGUUAGGCAUUUUCCAUGUGAACUGUUUUUGAAGCUUUCAGCCCUUCUUUACCUAAUUUAAAGAGUGCUGAAAAUGAACUGACACACCACCCACAGCAUCCCUGUCACAAAAGUAGCUCAUGUCCGCUGGUUUGAAGGCCUGGAACACCACAGAAACUGGUACCAUGUGAAGUGAAAUUCAGUCUCUUUCGGGAGAUCAGCAAAAGGACUUCUUAGAUUUCGUUAUGUAUAGAUACCCAAGCCUCCUCCUGCUGUGCUUUGCAUUCACAGAUCUCAAUGUGCUCCUUGGAAAGUGGGCAAUUUCCAACCUGAGGGAACCGGCUUCUGCUUUAAACUUCACAGCUGGCUGUGCUGGGAAGCCCGUGUUCAAAGCAAAAAUAAGCAUCUGUUUGAACAGUGUAUAUGUGGCUUGUAACAGAAAAAGGGAAAGAAAAAUGUAGGUUAAGAGUUAAGCCAAGCUGAGACUUAACGUGGGCAUUUGUUUGUUGAUUGUUGACAGGAAUUGUACAGAUAGAACUUUGUCGCGUAACGAGCCCUUCUGAGGAAACUGUGCCCUAAAUACCAGUGUUUGCUUGCAAUUGUUUGUACGAGUUUACUGAGAAUAACAAAAAAUUUGGCCCCUUUAAGUGGCAACAGUAAAUUAUAUACGUUCACUGACACUUGAUUACUUUAUGCUAAUCGGUUUAGUAAGUACCAAUUAUAUCCCCAAAUGGUUUUCUGAAUGUUAACAUAUCAGCUACAUUCCUCAUUUUCGUGUGUAUUUUGUAGUUAGAAAAUGAAGCAGUAAGAUUUCUCUUUCAUACCUAUUAGUCAUCAUUACAUUCUCUAGUAAAAUGGUAUUUCAGAUGUAAUGAUAUUUGCAAACGUAUUUAGAUGGAGGUUCUUAAUAUUAAUACUAAGUAUUAACCCAUUAUAUUCCUCUAGGUAGAAGCAUGUGUAGAAAAAAACAUGAAGGAUAAAAAACAUCAGAUGAAGUUAUGAACAGAAGGUGUUUUAUACAAUUUUCUAUAGAUAACAUUAACUAA